AUCUAGAGAAUGAUUUUGGGAACCAGAUCUGGAAGGCUGCAGCAGCUCUUGUUGCAAACAUGAGCUCCGGCCUUGCACUGCCUUCUCGACCGCCUGAGCCUAGCUCUCCAGCCUGCAGACAUCCACUGGGCCACCCUCCUGCCCACUGCUGAGCCUGCCAGGCAGCACCAUCUGCUCUGCAGCCCGUCCCUGGUGGAAAGACACAAUGACCACAUUGUUUUUCUUCCAGCUUCUCGUCAAGACAUGGAAGCUAUUGCCAAGUUCGAUUUCAUGGCCUCGGGUGAGGACGAAUUGAGCUUUCACACUGGAGAUAUUCUGAAGCUAAAACAGCAGGCGCUUACUAGAUGCUGACCCACACGGGAUAGCAGACAAGAUGGUGGAUGAGGAACCUCUGCCAAGCGGCUUGCUCCUUAUUCUCCAGGGAAAUAAACACUUGGAAAGG
rnacentral:lncRNA from 1 species